rnacentral:rRNA from 1 species
CAAGUCGAGCGAAUGGAUUAAGAGCUUGCUCUUAUGAAGUUAGCGGCGGACGCGUGAGUAACACGUGGGUAACCUGCCCAUAAGACUGGGAUAACUCCGGGAAACCGGGGCUAAUACCGGAUAACAUUUUGAACCGCAUGGUUCGAAAUUGAAAGGCGGCUUC